rnacentral:rRNA from 1 species
GCAGGGAAUCUUGCGCAAUGGGCGAAAGCCUGACGCAGCGACACCGCGUGGAGGAAGAAGGCCUUCGGGUCGUAAACUCCUUUUCUGGGGGAAGAGAAAGGACGGUACCCCAGGAAUAAGCCUCGGCUAACUACGUGCCAGCAGCCGCGGUAAUACGUAGGAGGCGAGCGUUGUCCGGAUUUACUGGGCGUAAAGGGGGUGUAGGCGGUUCAGGUAGUCCUUGGUGAAAUCUCCCAGCUUAACUGGGAGGGGUCUGAGGAUACUCCUGGACUUGAGGGCAGUAGAGGAGAGUGGAAUUCCCGGUGGAGUGGUGAAAUGCGUAGAUAUCGGGAGGAACACCCGUGGCGAAAGCGGCUCUCUGGGCUGUACCUGACGCUGAGGCCCGAAAGCGUGGGGAGCGAACCGG